GCUUGCCUUACAGAAGGUGCUCACUACCAGGACCUUGUUCAGGUGCAUAACUCAUAAGUGUUGCAGAUCUGAAAGACAAUCGGCACGCAAGACAAGGCAAAGACUGUUAUCUCAUGCGUGUUUGAUGCCAAUGCUGGAAUUAAUUGAAAUGAUUAAUUUGUCUAUGCUCGCGUUAAAUGCUCACAAAGUGUUGGCUCUGAAUUGUGCUUGGUUAAAUAAAACAAUUUUUUGGUUGCAAGUAUCAUAAUGAAUAGACCUUUGUGCUUGUAUUUCCACAAUGUAUGUAUGAGUGUUGAAAUGUGUGUCGCAGCCUGUGUUUCAGGAUAAAUUGUGUCGCAGGCCUGUAAACUGGAAGCCCAGGUCCGUUAUAAUGGAUCUGGACUAUCCAUUUUUUUUAAUU